rnacentral:rRNA from 1 species
AUGGGAACGCGAAGAACCUUACCUACUCUUGACAUCCAGAGAACUUAGCAGAGAUGCUUUGGUGCCUUCGGGAACUCUGAGACAGGUGCUGCAUGGCUGUCGUCAGCUCGUGUUGUGAAAUGUUGGGUUAAGUCCCGCAACGAGCGCAACCCUUAUCCUUUGUUGCCAGCGAUUCGGUCGGGAACUCAAAGGAGACUGCCAGUGAUAAACUGGAGGAAGGUGGGGAUGACGUCAAGUCAUCAUGGCCCUUACGAGUAGGGCUACACACGUGCUACAAUGGCGCAUACAAAGAGAAGCGACCUCGCGAGAGCAAGCGGACCUCAUAAAGUGCGUCGUAGUCCGGAUUGGAGUCUGCAACUCGACUCCAUGAAGUCGGAAUCGCUAGUAAUCGUAGAUCAGAAUGCUACGGUGAAUACGUUCCCGGGUCUUGUACACACCG